AUUCUUUCUGUUCUUUCCGUACUUUCCGUUCUUUUAGUUGUUGUUUUUGAACUGUCACCUAAUUUUUUGCCUUAUGUUUCUGUCUCUGUGGAGGUUCUUUCCGUUCUUUCCGUUCUUUCCGUUGUUGUUUUUGAACUCUCACCUAAUUUUCUGCCCUAUGUUUCUGUCUCUGUGGAGGUUCUUUCCGUUCUUUCUGUUGUUGUUUUUGAAGUGUCACCUAAUUUUGUGCCCUAUGUUUCUGUCUCUGUGGAGGUUCUUUCCGUUCUUUACGUUCUUUCUGUUGUUGUUUUUGAACUGUCACCUAAUUUUCUGCUCUAUGUUUCUGUCUCUGUGGAGGUUCUUUCCGUUCUUUCCGUUCUUUCCGUUCUUUCCGUUCUUUCCGUUCUUUCCGUUCUUUCCGUUCUUUCCGUUCUUUCCGUUCUUUCUGUUGUUGUAUUUGAACUGUCACCUAAUUUUCUGCUCUAUGUUUCUGUCUCUGUGGAGGUACUUUCCGUUCUUUCCGUUCUUUCUGUUGUUGUUUUUGAACUGUCACCUAAUUUUCUGCCCUAAGUUUCUGUCUCUGUGGAGGUACUUUCCGUUCUCUCCGUUCUCUCCGUUCUCUCCGUUCCUUUUGUUGUUUUUGAACUGUCUCCUAAUUUUCUGCCCUAUGUUUCUGUCUCUGUGGAGUUUCUUUCCGUUCUUUCCGUUCUGUCCGUUCUUUCCGUUGUUUCCGUUCUUUCCGUUCUUUUUGUUGUUUUUGAACUGUCACCUAAUUUUCUGCCCUAUGUUUCUGUCUCUGUGGAGGUUCUUUCCGUUCUUUCCGUUCUUUCCGUUGUUGUUUUUGAACUGUCACCUAAUUUUCUGCACUAUGUUUCUGUCUCUGUGGAGGUUCUUUCCGUUCUUUCCGUUCUUUCCGUUCUUUCCGUUCUUUCCAUUCUUUCUGCAGUUGUUUUUGAACAGUCACCUAAUUUUCUGCCCUAUGUUUCUGUCUCUCUGGAGGUUCUUUCCGUUCUUUCCGUUCUUUCUGUUGAUGUUUUUGAACUGUCACCUAAUUUUCUGCCCUAUGUUUCUGUCUCUGUGGAGGUUCUUUCCGUUCUUUCCGUUCUUUCCGUUCUUUCCGUUCUUUCUGUUGUUGUUUUUGACCUGUCACCUAAUUUUCUGCCCUAUGUUUCUGUCUCUGUGGAGGUUCUUUCCGUUCUUUCCUUUCUUUCUGUAGUUGUUUUUGAACUGUCACCUAAUUUUCUGCCCUAUGUUUCUCUCUCUGUGGAGGUUCUUUCCGUUCUUUCCGUUCUUUCCGUUCUGUCCGUUCUUUCCGUUCUUUCCGUUUUUUUGAACUGUCACCUAGUGUUCUGCCCUAUGUUUCUGUCUCUGUGGAGGUUCUUUCCGUUCUUUCCGUUCUUUCCAUUCUUUCUGCAGUUGUUUUUGAACAGUCACCUAAUUUUCUGCCCUAUGUUUCUGUCUCUGUGGAGGUUCUUUCCGUUCUUUCCGUUCUUUCUGUUGAUGUUUUUGAACUGUCACCUAAUUUUCUGCCCUAUGUUUCUGUCUCUGUGGAGGUUCUUUCCGUUCUUUCCGUUCUUUCUGUUGUUGUUUUUGAACUGUCACCUAAUUUUCUGCCCUAUGUUUCUGUCUCUGUGGAGGUUCUUUCCGUUCUUUCCGUUCUUUCCGUUCUUUUUGUUGUUUUUGAACUGUCACCUAAUUUUCUGCCCUAUGUUUCUGUCUCUGUGGAGGUUCUUUCCGUUCUUUCCGUUCUUUCCAUUCUUUUUGUUGAUUUUGAACUGUCACCUAAUUUUCUGCCCUAUGUUUCUGUCUCUGUGGAGGUUCUUUCCGUUCUUUCCGUUCUUUCCGUUCUUUCCGUCCUUUCUGUUGUUGUUUUUCAACUGUCACCUAAUUUUCUGCCCUAUGUUUCUGUCUCUGUGGAGGUUUUCCGUUCUUUCCGUUCUUUCUGUUCUUUUUCAACUGUAACCUAAUUUUCUGCCCUAUGUUUCUGUCUCUGUGGAGGUUCUUUCCGUUCUUUCCUUUCUGCCCGUUCUUUCCGUACUUUUUGUUGUUUUUGAACUGUCACCUAAUUUUCUGCCCUAUGUUUCUGUCUCUGUGGAGGUUCUUUCCGUUCUUUCCGUUCUUUCCGUUCUUUCCGUUCUUUCCGUUCUUUCCGUUGUUGUUUUUGAACUGUCACCUAAUUUUCUGCCCUAUGUUUCUGUGUCUGUGGAGGUUCUUUCCGUUCUUUCCGUUCUUUCUGUUGUUCUUUUUCAACUGUCACCUAAUUUUCUCCCCUAUGUUUCUGUCUCUGUGGAGGUUCUUUCCGUUCUUUCCGUUCUUUCCGUUCUUUCCAUUCUUUUUGUUGAUUUUGAACUGUCACCUAAUUUUCUGCCCUAUGUUUCUGUCUCUGUGGAGGUUCUUUCCGUUCUUUCCGUUCUUUCCGGUCUUUCCGUUCUUUCCGUUCUUUCCGUUCUUUCUGUUGUUGUUUUUGAACUGUCACCUAAUUUUCUGCCCUAUGUUUCUGUCUCUGUGGAGGUUCUUUCCGUUCUUUCCGUUCUUUCCGUUCUUUCCGUUCUUUCUGUUGUUGUUUUUCAACUGUCACCUAAUUUUCUGCCCUAUGUUUCUGUCUCUGUGGAGGUUUUCCGUUCUUUCCGUUCUUUCUGUUCUUUUUCAACUGUAACCUAAUUUUCUGCCCUAUGUUUCUGUCUCUGUGGAGGUUCUUUCCGUUCUUUCCGUUCUGCCCGUUCUUUCCGUUCUUUUUGUUGUUUUUGAACUGUCACCUAAUUUUCUGCCCUAUGUUUCUGUCUCUGUGGAGGUUCUUUCCGUUCUUUCCGUUCUUUCGGUUCUUUCCGUUCUUUCUGUUGUUGUUUUUGAACUGUCACCCAAUUUUCUGCCCUAUGUUUCUGUCUCUGUGGAGGUUCUUUCCGUUCGUUCCGAACUGUCACCUAAUUUUCUGCCCCAUGUUUCUGUCUCUGUGGAGGUUCUUUCCGUUCUUUCCGUUCUUUCCGUUCUUUUUGUUGUUUUUGAACUGUCACCUAAUUUUCUGCCCUGUGUUUCUGCCUCUGUGGAGGUUCUUUCUGUUCUUUCCGUUGUUUCCGUUGUUGGUCUUGACCUGUCACCUAAUUUUCUGCUCUAUGUUUCUGUCUCUGUGGAGGUUCUUUCCGUUCUUUCCGUUCUUUCCGUUCUUUCAGUUUUUGUUUUUGAACUGUCACCUAAUUUUUUGC
ensembl:lncRNA